rnacentral:rRNA from 1 species
ACAGUCUGCCAUCACUUGAUGGUCACACCCUACUCCGGUAUCCGCCAAAGAACUACAAGUGAAAAGUUAAAAACUCAAAGGACUUGGGGGUGUCCCAUAUCGACCUAAGGGAGCCUGUCCUAUAAUCAUUACCCCCCGCUCUACCUAACCUCUACUAGCACUUACUUCUUCCUAUAUACCCUUCCCAAAAAAAAAACAAA